AAGCAAUCCUAUAGGUGUCGCCGCGUCGCCCCGCCGCGCAGCAGGGCAGCGCCAAAGCCGCUGGCCCGCGGGGAGGGAAGGAAAGGGAGAAAGCAGUAACUCAUAAUCAGAAGAGAAUUUAUCAUGAAGUUAAUUAAGCUGUGUACCUAAUUUUGUAUCUGUCAUCGUGUAUUCUUAAAAGAAGACUCCGACAUUGUAUAAGUUCUGGAUCUGAACAAAACCUGGAUAAACUCUGGUGCUUUAUUAACUUGAUGAAGAUUAGUGACACUGAGGAAUACUGAGGAACCAGGCUCUAUUCCACCCCAUCCCCUUCAUACACACCUCAUUCCAAAUGCUAUCCUGUCACAGCAGAUGCCACAUCACUUUUGGGGUGGGCUAAGAGAUCAAGAUACACCUACAUUACCAUUUCAAGAGCAACUCAUGGAAGCAUCAGUCCUUUUCAUCUGUCAUUUUACAAGUAGGAAAACUUCAGCUUCUCAAGUGGGCUGGUUCUGUGAUCGACUUCUCUCAGUCUUGAAGAAAACACUGGAAAUUUUUAUGUGGUAAAUAGUUUCCCAAAGUCAGCUGCAAACCAACACUGAAGUGAAAGUUUUCCUAAAUCCUGGAUAGUCCCAUGUUUGGCCCUGAGCCCAUUAUGUGUGAUUUUAUGUUCAAGAUCCUUAAAAUCUGGAUGCUUCAUUUUGCAACCCCAUUGUACCUAACAGGGUGCUGGGCCAUAGAGGAUGUAGAACUUGGGGCAAAUCCUCUAAGAUGGUGAUGCAGAAGGCAGUCACCACCCCAGACACAGGUGGAACAAAUUCUUAGGGUGCUGAGUCUCCAGAGCACCAAAUCACUGCUGCUCACUUGACAACAUCUAAUUAAAGGGAAGGAACUAGCAUUUUCUGAACACUAAACUAAGUGCAUGGGUUUUUCAUGUAUUUAUCCAUUCGAAUGUGAAAGGUUUCGUGAGAAGGAUUACCAUACCCAAAGAGAUAAAACUCUGGAAUGCAGCUGAGUGUGGGCUAAGCAGUGAUUGCUAGUGAUCCUCAAUGUUGCUCUCCAUCUUCUAUGCUUCUGUGCCCUUUAGCUGGGCAUGUGGCCACAUAGUAUAAAUAUUUUUCAGUCUCUUUCAUGUCUUGGACCUGCCACAUGCAAGUUUUCUGUAAUCUACUAGAUGCAUACAUAGGACUAAGUUGUAGCCAUUGUAAUUAUAAGCAAAAAUAAUAUGUGCAAUUUCUGGUAUGGAUCCUUAAAAAGGAGGGUAGGUGGUAUGUCCUUCCAAUCCUUCUCCCUUUCUUCUAGUUGGAAUAUGGAGCUCCAGCAGGUACUUGGACCAUGAGUUAACCUUGAGGGUGGAAGACAUUCACAAUGAAACAGUAAAAUAGAAGAACCCCGAGCUCCAGAGAGCCCUAGCAACCCUAGACUGAUUACCUCUAGAUUACUUAGAGGUGAGAGAAAAACAAACUACUUAGUUAUUAUUUUGCCACUGUUAUUUUGCUUUUUUCUGUUAUGUGCAUCCAAACUAACUGGGGUACAACCUACCACCAUUAACCACUGGAUUUCAGACUUUUUUUCUUUUUUUUUUUUUUUUUUUUGAGAUGGAGUUUUCACACUCUUGUUGCCCAGGCUGGAGUGCAGUGGCGCAAUCUUGACUCACCUCCCGGGUUCAAGCAAUUCUCCUGCCUCAGCCUCCCAAGUGGCUGGGAUUACAAGCACACACCACCAUGCCCAGCUAAUUCUUUUGUGUUUUUAGUAGAGACGGGGUUUCAGCAUGUUGGCCAGGCUGGUCUCAAACUCUUGACCUCAGGUGAUCCGCCUACCUCGGCCUCCCAAAGUGCUGGGAUUGCAGGCAUGAGCCACCGUGCCUGGACACUUUCAGAUAUUUAUUUACAAAAAUAUUUACUGGGAAUUACAAGUUCAUGUGGUCAUGGACAAAUUUGAUAACCUCUAAACCUGUGUUUUCUCAUCCAUAAAAUACUAAUAAAAACAGGGUAGUUAUUAAAAUUGCAUAACAUAAAGUACAUAAAGAGCUUAGCAUAAGGCCUGGCAUAUAGUGAGGGUUCAAUGAAUGCUAUCUAUUGUGUUAUUUGUCAUUGUCCUUCAACAUAGCUCAGUCUAUUGUGUCUGACUCCAAAGCCAGUGAUCACUCCAUCUCAUCCUGCUAUCCAGAGACUGCCUUUCAGGACAGACCCAGCCCAGAGCUGUGGACCCCUGACUCUGUUACCAGUGAACUCCCUAGUACAGCUAUCCCUUCCUUUGCGUGUAAUUCUCUUUCUUUGAUCUACUUGCAUGAUCUCAAUACAGUCUAGAAUAUUUUAAGCCAUUAAAGGUGAUACAGAGCUUUAAGCAAAAUGUCAGUGUUAUGACACAGUGGUUCUGAGACUAUUAGCUUCAAUAUGGCCAAAUGAGAGAGUCUGACUUAUUUUCCAUUUGUGCUAAAAGAAAACUUAGGUAAUAAGUGGGGGUAUUUUUAUUUUAUUAUUCUAUCUUUUUACUUUCUAUUAGGGAAAUUUUCAAACAUAUUCAAAAGUAGGGAAAAUCAUAUAAUGGACUUCUUUGUAUGUAUCACUCAGCAUCAAUACUUAUCAAGUUGGUCCAUUUCUCCAUCAUCCGGGAAAGACAUUAGUGUUGAUGCUGACAUCCCUGUCAAGGACAAUAACUACCAUGGCUCUCAGUGCCUUGGUGUAACCUGGGAUGUGUGGCCUUCUGGCCAAGCAUCUGUCAUUUCAUAUUGUUGGAGCAUUCCUUAUAACCCUGGGGUUGCAGCUCUCUGUAAGUUUGCUGUGGCCUGACCAAGAAAGAAGGCAUAUGCAGAUUUCUACAGAAAUUAUAAUUGAAUUAAAGAAUUUGAGAUGAGGAAGGCUAAUAUCUCUCAGAGUACAAAGUGAUUUUGGAACAUAAAGUAUUUCUUUGGGUUGAAUUACAUAGAAGUUUGUCACUGUACCUGUGUUCCUGAACUAUCUGUGAAACAUGAAUAUGUGGGCUAAGAAAUUGUUUAUCUUAAUAAAUAAUUAACAAACACUUUGAACGGUUAAAAAAAAAAAGUCAUGGUCAGUCUUUUUUCAUAUGUAUAGACCCCUAACUACUACCGUUAAGCAAAUUCCAGACUUCAUAAUUUGGGGGAAGUAACUAUCAGAUUUCAUCUGUACUAGAAUUGUGGCAAAGUACCAUUCCACCUGCUUGCUGAGAGGCCAAAGCUAUUUCCUAACCAGUUUCUCUUCAGGAGACUGUCAAAGGAAACUGCAUACCUUCCCAUUUCCUUUUUUCCCAGUAAAAACAACACAUCAUUCAUUCAGCUUCUUGUCCUCACCUCACCUCCCACCUUCACCCACCCUAGACCCACAAAACUUGCCUCAUUUUCAAGUACUAGUUGUAAUCUUAGGCCUUGCUGCCCAACAGAUCUCAAAAUCAGCAUGGAAGUAACGUAAUCAUCCAACUAGUUCACCUUGCCCACUGCCCAGAUAAGAGCCAAUUUAUCAAGACAGGGGAAUUGUAAUAGAGAAAGAGUGUAAUUCACACAGAGCCAACUGAAUGGGAGAUCAGAGUUUUAUUACUCGAUUCAGUCUCCCUGGAAAAUUCAGACACUAGGGUUUUUUUUAAAGGAUGAUUUGGCACGUAGGGGGAGCCAGGGAGUGGGGAGUGCUGAUUGAUUGGGUCACAGAUGGAAUCAUAGGGGGUUAAAGUGGGUUCUUCUUGCUGUCUUCUGUUCCUGGGAGGCACUGCAGAACUGGUUGUGCCAGAUUACCAGUCUGGGUGGCGCCAGCUGGUGCCUCAGAAUGCAAGGUCUGAAAAACAUCUCAGACCAAUCUUAGGUUUCACAAUAAUGAUGUUACCCCAAGGAGCAAUGGGGGAGGUUCAGAACUUGCAGCCUCCGGCUACAGGACUCCUAAACCUACAUUUCCAAUCUUGCAGCUAAUUUAUUAGUCCUACAUGGGCAGUCUGGUUUCAGGCAAGAAGGGCUGUUAUCAUCUUUGUUUCAAGGUUAAACUAAGUUCCUCCCAAACUUAGUUCAGCCUGCGCCCAACAAUGAACAAGGGCAGCUUGAAGGUUAGAAUAGCAAAAUGGAGUCAUUAAGUCAGAUCUGUCACUGUCAUAAUUUUCUCACUGUUAUAAUUUUUGCAAAGGCAGUUUCAUUAAGUUUUGCCAAAAUAGGAGAAAUGUAUGGACUACUAAAGCUGGACAGAGUUAUAAAGGGUAGACUAUCCCUUUCAAUUUAAAGAUAAGAAAAUCAAGACAGAAAAAUGAAAAAAUUGAUUCACAUCUCAGCUUUCUAAAAUGCAGAUCUAAUUAUGUGACUCAGUUGCUUAAAACUAUUCAAGGGUUUCCUAUCACCCUCAGUCAAAGGUAGUCAGCAUAAUGGACUCUGCAUUCUAGGACCAGCUAAUUUCCCUCAAGACUCAGCCCUCAGCCUUCACCACUUCCCCCUUCCCAACCUCUUUCUAAGUCCAGACAAAGAGCUUUGUUGUGAUCCCCCACCUGGCCAAUCCCAGCCUGCCCUUCAGAUCCCUAAAUGGACAGCAUGUCCCAGGAAACCAUCCAAUUUCUCAAAACCACGUUUGAUAUCAUUUUAUGAGGUCCCAUAGAACAGUCUACUUCUUCUAACAUAGCACUUACAACAUGCUACACUGAAAUUGCCUGUUUACAUGUAUGACUUCCCACACCAGACUGUAAGCUCCAUGAUAGCAGAACCAUAUUUGGUACCUAACUCCAUGCCUGACACAGGGUAGAUGCCUGAUAAAGAUGUGCUGAAUGAGGCUGGGCGUGGUGGCUCACUCCUGUAAUCCCAGCACUUUUGGAGGCCGAGGCAGGUGGAUCACGAGGUC
rnacentral:lncRNA from 1 species